UACGUAGGGACCGAGCGUUGUCCGGAUUCAUUGGGCGUAAAGAGCUCGUAGGCGGCCACUCAAGUCGAAUGUGAAACCUCGAGGCUUAACCUCGAGCCUGCAUUCGAUACUGGGCGGCUAGAGUCUGGUAGGGGGAUCUGGAAUUCCUGGUGUAGCGGUGGAAUGCGUAGAUAUUGGGAAGAACACCGGUGGCGAAGGCGGCUACCUGGACCGGUACUGACGCUGAGGCGCGAAAGCCAGGGGAGCGAAUGGG
rnacentral:rRNA from 1 species